AACGAACGCUGGCGGCAUGCCUAAUACAUGCCAGUCGAACGAGAUCUUCGGAUCUAGUGGCGCACGGGUGCGUAACGCGUGGGAAUCUGCCCUUGGGUUCGGAAUAACUUCUGGAAACGGAAGCUAAUACCGGAUGAUGACGUAAGUCCAAAGAUUUAUCGCCCAAGGAUGAGCCCGCGUAGGAUUAGGUAGUUGGUGAGGUAAAGGCUCACCAAGCCGACGAUCCUUAGCUGGUCUGAGAGGAUGAUCAGCCACACUGGGACUGAGACACGGCCCAGACUCCUACGGGAGGCAGCAGUAGGGAAUAUUGGACAAUGGGCGAAAGCCUGAUCCAGCAAUGCCGCGUGAGUGAUGAAGGCCUUAGGGUUGUAAAGCUCUUUUACCCGGGAUGAUAAUGACAGUACCGGGAGAAUAAGCGCCGGCUAACUCCGUG
rnacentral:rRNA from 1 species